UUGUUUUGAAUGGAGACUUGUGGCAGACUGUCUCUCUUAUUGCUGGCAUUGAUUUACAUCACUUUAUCCUCAGUUUUUGAGGCACAAGAAAUCAGAAUCUGGCCUGAGGUGACUGGAUACGUUGGGGAUGAUGUUACCCUGACAUGCCAGUUUAUCAAAGGCCCAGCAGACUCUGGUGUUAGUCAAGCCCAGUGAGACCUGCUGCUACCAGAAGGAAAGAAAAUACCCAUCAUCGUUUCUAACAUCGAAUCAGUCAAUAUUUUUAACAGCACCUUAAAGGAGAGGGUGUCUUUUGCAGGAGGCCCCAAAUAUGAUCAGUCUUUGGUCAUAAGAGACGUGCAAACCGCUGAUGGAGGGCUGUAUCAAUGCAGUGUGGCGACCUUCCCCUGUGGGUCAUUUGACAAAACCACCCAACUGAUCGUUCGAGACCAGAAGCCGUUAUCACCAGGGGUGGUUGCUGGCAUAGUGAUUGCUGUGUUGCUGCUAUUGGUCAUCGUGGUGGCCACAGCUUACCUCAUCAUCAUCAGACAGAGACAUAAGGGAUUGGUCAACCACACCGUCUUCAUUGACACAGGUGGCCUCGCAGUGGAUGACACCAUGACACCGGCAACCGAGCAG